rnacentral:rRNA from 1 species
UACGUAGGGGGCAAGCGUUGUCCGGAAUCAUUGGGCGUAAAGCGCGUGUAGGCGGCCAGGUAAGUCCGUUCUGAAAGCCCGGGGCUCAACCCCGGGAGGCGGAUGGAUACUGCUUGGCUCGAGUCCGGAAGAGGCGAGUGGAAUUCCCGGUGUAGCGGUGAAAUGCGCAGAUAUCAGGAGGAACACCAAUGGCGAAGGCAGCUCGCUGGAACGGUACUGACGCUGAGGCGCGAAAGCGUGGGGAGCGAACAGG